UUUGAGCAAUUGCUGGUGUAACUUUCAGGUUUCGAAGAAGUUUUGCAAUCUCGUCGGUCAAUUCUUCAUUGUAGACGGGCUUCUUGAACUCAAGAAGUGGGAAGCUGUUUUUUUCUAAAAUUGUUGGAGCACAUUCCUUGACACUAUUGAGGAAGACAUUUGUUGCGUCUGCCUGCAUUGUAGGCAAUAUUCAACGGUUUGCUCAGUUUCCCCCCUCAAUGAGUUGUAGUGCGUCCAUUGCAAUGAAUUGGUGUCGAAGACAAGCAGGGUGUGGUGUCCGCCAUCCGUUAUUGUGUCUGGUGUUUGUUUUUGAAACGAGAUCAAUCUUGGUGGUGGUUAUGGAGUCUCGGUUUCGACGACGAUGAAGACGAAUUGAUGAAGACGAUUUGACUUGAUGAAGACGAUGAGUGAAGUGAAGAGACGUUUUGCAGAGAACGUUUAAUGAAAGUGCGCGUGCUGGAAGUUACGGUUUACUUUUUUUUAAGUUACGGUUUAUUUUUUUUUUUUGGACGAAAGUUACGGUUUGGGCUUGUUUAUAAGUUUGGGCUGGGUUUGUUUUGGGUGUCUUUUGAGUUUGUUUGGUGUUGGGCUUGAUAGUGGCAGACCUGUAAUUUAUAGGAACUUGAACACUAAUUUGUUAUAUAAUAAAUGGAUUUUGGGUGUGUUUAUAAAGUGUAUUCUAU